rnacentral:rRNA from 1 species
AACGAACGCUGGCGGCAUGCCUAACACAUGCAAGUCGAACGAGACCUUCGGGUCUAGUGGCGCACGGGUGCGUAACGCGUGGGAACCUGCCCUUAGGUUCGGAAUAACUCCCCGAAAGGGGUGCUAAUACCGGAUAAUGUCUUCGGACCAAAGAUUUAUCGCCUUUGGAUGGGCCCGCGUUGGAUUAGCUAGUUGGUAGGGUAAAAGCCUAGCAAGGCGACGAUCCAUAGCUGGUCUGAGAGGAUGAUCAGCCACACUGGGACUGAGACACGGCCCAGACUCCUACGGGAGGCAGCAGUGGGGAAUAUUGGACAAUGGGCGAAAGCCUGAUCCAGCAAUGCCGCGUGAGUGAUGAAGGCCUUAGGGUUGUAAAGCUCUUUUACCCGGGAUGAUAAUGACAGUACCGGGAGAAUAAGCUCCGGCUAACUCCGUG